CCUGUGCCUAGAGACAUUGCAGGUGUGGCUGCUGUGUCAAAUGUUCAUCAGUAGGUGGCAGAGAGGGUUAUGUCUAUGCUCAGUGUCCUGACCUGUGAAUAUCUGACAUUCUCAGAAAAA
rnacentral:snoRNA from 1 species